rnacentral:rRNA from 16 species
GGAUGCGAUCAUACCAGCACUAAAGCACCGGAUCCCAUCGGAACUCCGAAGUUAAGCGUGCUUGGGCGAGAGUAGUACUAGGAUGGGUGACAUCCUCGGAAGUCCUCGUGUUGCAUUCC